rnacentral:lncRNA from 1 species
AAACUUUGCGAGGAAGGUAAAUCGUGGGAUGUGCCCCAACAGGUCAGGAAACAAGAGUUGUCUAUACACUGCGUUUACAAAGAGUUUAAUUUCAUAUCUCAGGGAUCGAACCCCACACUGCGACUGCCAGCAAGGCGUAAGAUAACUCCAUUCCUGUCCUUUUUGCGUUAUUUUUACUUCUACUAGAGAAAAAGGGACAGAUGCAGCUGAGAAACCAGCCAGAGCGGCUUUUUCUUAUUUUUUCUGUAUGAAUUAAAAAAAUUAUGAUAGUAUAUUAGAGGGGUAUAGACGGGGUAGUAUUAGGUGGGUUGGUAUUGUUGGGGUUCCAAAUCAGGACAGAUUGCUUCUUGUGGACUUCGCUGUUCAUGCUCAACCUCAUCUUUGUAUGGGUUCGUCACUUGUGAUGAUUGUUGGGGUUCCAUUUGUAUUGUGCUUGUUGGGGUAAUGUAACAUCUCUUUAUCAAAUCAUUCUUUGCA